GUUAAAACACCGGUUCUCCUACGAUCACCGAAGUUAAGCAACGCCGAGCCUGGUCAGUACCUAGAUAGGUGACCACCUGAUAAUACGAGGUCCUGUAA